CCCUAGCUUCAAUGUAGUUAAGGAAUUAUCAAACAGAUGAUCACAUCAAUGUCUUACUGAAUACACUCCAUCUCUCAAAGAUGACUAUUUGGCCCCAGAUUCCUUUCUUCCUUCCUCCUCCCUGUAGCCCCAAACCCCCACCAAAAAGCUUACCAGUUGCUUAGUCUGUGUGUUAUUAAUUCAUGGAAAUGCAAGUAUUAUUUAACUAUAAAAAUAAAAAUCGCACUCAGGCGAGUCCUGAAUUAUUCAUGCACUCUGAUUUUACAUAAUUUGACCAUCCCUCUUUUUAUUGCUAUUUCAGUUUCUAUCACUAAACAAUUCUCCGCUAGGUCCACCUU
rnacentral:lncRNA from 1 species